GAAUAUUCGACCAAGUUUGAAAAAGGUUGUCUGCGAAAGUCACAGCAAACUAAUGGUUUGGGGAGGACGGUUCGGGACAGUGGAACUUUGGUCAACAUGAAAUGUACACCAACACUACGCAUGGCUCAACUUUAGGCAUCGUGUCUACAGUCUGAUGCAAGUCUGGAAGACAGUGAGGAGGGGAUGUGAAGAUGUCUUGUCAAAUCUCAUAAAUUUAUCAUUUGGCGAUUACAGAAAGCUUCUAGAUCUUGUAACCUUAGGAUAAUUUUGUUUUAAAUAUAAAAACUAAAAACUUCGUGCAGCACAGAAUUUACGAAUGUAGGCACAGCACAGAAACAAAAAAACAAAAGAAUAAAACAAAAACAUAAAUAUUUUAAUGCUUGACCUAUCGAAAGGCAUAAAAUAGAUAUUCAUCAAAAUGUUUUCGAAUUUGGCCGGUCACCGCAAACAUCCUUGAUGUUUGUGCCAUAUUAGCUCUGAAAGAGUCGCUUCCCCUGCCGAUAUUUUCAACGAAUGGCAUCACAUCGGGCAAAAAUAGAAUGAUUCUCUAACGUGCUUUGAUCGUCAGCAAAAUCCGACAACAAAAAGGCCGGCGUGCAACAAAACAUAAUAUCAUUUACCGAGGCAAACACACCAAACAGGCUCAGUCGAUUCCCUUGCACUGCGGGACAAAGCUCGAUGACAGAGAAAUGGUCCACAAUGCAAUUAAAACCUAAUGAUGUUAGCAAACCGUGAGGCCCGGUCAAUGCUGCUGCUCUGCCGAUUCCGGAGCUGAUGCAGCCGUGUACGGCGCCAAUCACGAAGGCACUCGACAGCGGGCUGACAAAGGAAACGUCCGCUUCCUGUGAGUUCUCUCCCCGUGAUGACGAGUAGUGUGCUUUAGACACCUUCCUGUCAGGCUACCGCGGGCCCAGGAGUCGUGUGAACAUGGAUGCGCCAGUCUGGCGGGGCAAGCGUUAGGAUGCAAGUAGGGCCGUUGAAAUCGUCGUGCGUGCGCGUGACCAAUCUCCACGCCUAGUGCUUUUCGUCUAGAGACACUUGCUGACAGCAAAAGCCUCAGCAACAACAUGGAAGAUGUCCUGAACGCACGACGAUCCUCCACAGUGAUAAACGCACGGUUGUUUUCUUCCUCCACAAAAUUACCCGGCUCAGCAACGGCCCGAGUCUGGAGUUUAAGCAACAUGUAAUGGACGACGGUCUGGAGUCUUAGCAACACGUAAUGGAUGACGGCCUCACAAUCUGGAGAUUCAGCAACAUGUAAUGGAUGAUGGCUGGUCUACAGUCUUAGUCACGUGAUGGAUGGUGGUCAGGAGUUUGAGCAACGUGUAAUGAUGGGAGUAUUGAGUUUGAGUAACGUGUAAUGAUGGGGGUAUUGAGUUUUAGCAACAUGUAAUGGACAACAGUCUCGAGAUUUAGCAACACGUCAUGAAUGAUUGUCCCAGAAUAUGGAGUUUUCACAACUUGGCUGAUGUUUCCCGAGCCUGGAUGGGGGUGUUCAGCAAUAUGAGACCACUUCCUUCAAUUCAGGAAAAGAAAAGAUCUACCAUCAACACUCAAAUAAAAAAAAAUCGGGAAAGAAUCGAGAAAAUAAACAAGUAAGCAAAAUAUUAACCAGGGAUUCCAAUGCUUCAACGGUCAAUACUUUACUUAUUUUUUAUGUUGUUGUUGUUGUUGUUGUUGUUGUUGUUGUUGUUGUUGUAGCAGCAAUAUUCGAAUCUGUCGCUCGUCAGCAUUCUCGGCUAGCCCAAUUCUGCUUCACCAGAACGUUUCCAGCAAGAUAAAGCAAAACUAAGCACAAAUCAAACCGCGGCAAAGCAAGAACUAAGAAAGCUUACCGCCUGCAGCAAACUAACAGGUUAAAAAAAAAAAAAGAGCAGAAAAUCUGUUCUAACCUCGGUGUAACUCUUGCCCCAUUGUUUAACGUUUACUGUCGUCGAUUAAUCCACUUGAAAAUGGUGGGGACGCAGAGAAGCAGUGACUAAAAAUAUUUGAUUUCAUGCAAGAUUGCUGGUGCUCAAUAAAUUAAUUACACUUUAAAAAAAUCUGUCAUCUCUCCUGUGCUUAUUAGCCAAUAAGCCUUUGUGGGAGUUAAUGCAACACAUAAAUCUUACGAUGCUUCCCUUCAAACAGCCCUUAAAGUACAGUUGUCAUAAAGGUAUACUCUGUUUGUAUCUGACUAGUUGAAUGUACUUCUAGAAGUACGACUGGAGUUAAUCAUGCAUACUGUCCAAGUACAUUUAGUUUCAAUCAGCCUUCGUUUUAACAGACCUGGAACUUCUAAUUCCUCCUCAUCCUCCCUUUCCUUCCCUUUAAUUGGGUACCGGACGGUUAGCAUCCUCAACCUCUUCCAUCCCUUUAGUUUCUGUCACACUCUCAUACGCGCAUGCCCCACACACACACAGCCAUGUCUGCUAUCCACAAAAUGCCACUCACACUCGCUCUCUGCUUUGCUCGCACCAGCCAUCCAUCCAA